AUGGAGGGCUCCAGCGACAUGGACGAGAUCGACUUCGAGUUCCUCGGCAACGACAAGCGCGCCGUGCAGACCAACUUGUUCGUCGCGGGGGGCGGCGGCAGGGAGAUGGUCCACCAGCUCCCCUUCGACUCCUCCGACGGCUUCCACCACUACGCCGUCGCCUGGAGCGCCGAGGCCGUGGAGUGGCGCGUCGACGGGGAGGUGAUCCGGCGGGAGGAGCGGCGCGACGGGGAGCCCUGGCCGGAGAAGCCCAUGUACCUGUACGCCUCCUUGUGGGACGCGAGCGACGUCGACGAGGGGAGGUGGACCGGCACGUACCACGGCCGCGACGCGCCCUACGUCUGCAGCUACAGAGACGUCAGGGUGCCCGCCGUUGCGCUAUCAGCGGGAGAGGAAGAAGAAUGGCAGGAUGACACGAACGCCGGAGAUGAGGCUGAUGCUGCCGCCACCACUUGUGAAGAUUAG
rnacentral:rRNA from 1 species